CUUGAUCAGACCUUCGAUAUUCAGAUCAUCCUCGGGAAGGUGGGCCCCUUUUCACGCCGCCUCGCCGAGGCU
rfam:Mycobacterium kansasii 732 gmk732.contig.10, whole genome shotgun sequence.